GACGAACGCUGGCGGCGUGCUUAACACAUGCAAGUCGUACGGUAAGGCCCUUUCGGGGGUACACGAGUGGCGAACGGGUGAGUAACACGUGAGUAACCUGCCCACAACUUUGGGAUAACGCUAGGAAACUGGUGCUAAUACUGGAUAUGUGCUCCUGCUGCAUGGUGGGGGUUGGAAAGCUCAGGCGGUUGUGGAUGGACUCGCGGCCUAUCAGCUUGUUGGUGGGGUAGUGGCCUACCAAGGCGGCGACGGGUAGCCGGCCUGAGAGGGUGACCGGCCACAUUGGGACUGAGAUACGGCCCAGACUCCUACGGGAGGCAGCAGUGGGGAAUAUUGCACAAUGGGCGCAAGCCUGAUGCAGCAACGCCGCGUGCGGGAUGACGGCCUUCGGGUUGGAAACCGCUUUCAGCAGGGACGAAGCUUUUUGUGACGGUACCUGCAGAAGAAGCACCGGCUAACUACGUG
rnacentral:rRNA from 1 species